rnacentral:rRNA from 1 species
GACGAACCGAGCGAACGUUGUUCGGAAUCACUGGGCUUAAAGGGCGCGUAGGCGGGCUGCCAAGUCCGUGGUGAAAUCCCCCGGCUCAACCGGGGAAGGGCCUCGGAUACUGGCGGCCUCGAGGGGGGUAGGGGCGUGCGGAACUGUGGGUGGAGCGGUGAAAUGCGCAGAUAUCCGAAGGAACACCGGUGGCGAAGGCGGCUUCCUGGACCGACACUGACGCUGAGGCGCGAAAGCUAGGGGAGCAAACGGG